AACGCAAAUUGCGCUUCUUGGAUAGGCCAGGAAGCAUGCCUCUUUGAGUAUCGUUUUCACCCCAGCUCGACUGCUUUAUUGUUUGUGUAACAACGAAUAGUGAAUCAGUUGGAGAAUGAGUUGUCUUGUCUGAAAUAGAUAAGUCACUUUAAAUGCUGUGAGUGUUUUAUAAUCGUUUUACUAUCUCAGUGUUGGUCUCAAAUAGCAAUAUUUGGGAGCUUAGUUAAUAAGCUAAUCGCUAGUAGUAAUGUGGAUAAAUUUUAUUUACAUUAUCGCUAUGGUUAGAGUGUUAGCCAAAGUAAUCUUCGUUGAGGUUGAUUAUAUAUAUGACAUUCAGUGGAAAUUAAUCUAAUACCUAAUCGUAUUAAUACCUUUUGAAUUAGAUCUCAAAUGAAGCAAGACUACCCGCUGAACUUAA
rnacentral:misc_RNA from 1 species